rnacentral:lncRNA from 1 species
AAAGAAAGCAAAAAUGUGCUGAUAAAAGGAUCUGUCUCUGGGAAGAUGGCCUCAGGAGAACAGAAAAUGCCUUAACACCAAAGAGUGUCCUCUUACUCCAUGCUGAUGUUGCCCCUGCUCCAGCUACAUAUUUGUGUGCAGCAAGAUCUUCAUCAAAAUAAUUUACAGUAGAUUGAAGGCAGAGAAGAUAUGAAAAAUGAAAAUCCAACCAUCUGAAGACAUUGAAAGAAUUUGUAAAAAAUGUAAAACAGUAACAUUCUUCUCAUGAAUUUAUUUUUAGAAUAUAUAAUUUCCCAUAU